rnacentral:rRNA from 1 species
UACAGAGGGUGCGAGCGUUAAUCGGAAUUACUGGGCGUAAAGCGCGCGCAGGCGCCCCGCAAGUCGGCCGUGAAAUCUCCAGGCUCAACCUGGAGGGGUCGGGCGAGACUGCGGGGCUCGAGGUGGGCAGGAGGGCAGUGGAAUUCCGGGUGUAGUGGUGGAAUGCGUAGAGAUCCGGAGGAACACCAGUGGCGAAGGCGGGUAGCUGGGCCAACACUGACGUGAGAACGCGAAAGCUAGGGGAGCAAACGGG